rnacentral:rRNA from 1 species
UACGGGGGGGGCAAGCGUUGUUCGGAAUUACUGGGCGUAAAGGGCUCGUAGGCGGCCAACUAAGUCAGACGUGAAAUCCCUCGGCUUAACCGGGGAACUGCGUCUGAUACUGGUUGGCUUGAAUCCGGGAGAGGGAUGUGGAAUUCCAGGUGUAGCGGUGGAAUGCGCAGAUAUCAGGAGGAACACCAAUAGCGAAGGCAGCUCGCUGGGACGGUACUGACGCUAAGGCGCGAAAGCGUGGGGAGCGAACAGG